GACGAACGCUGGCGGCGUGCCUAAUACAUGCAAGUUGAGCGAUGAAGAUUGGUGCUUGCACCAAUUUGAAGAGCAGCGAACGGGUGAGUAACGCGUGGGGAAUCUGCCUUUGAGCGGGGGACAACAUUUGGAAACGAAUGCUAAUACCGCAUAAUAACUUUAAACAUAAGUUUUAAGUUUGAAAGAUGCAAUUGCAUCACUCAAAGAUGAUCCCGCGUUGUAUUAGCUAGUUGGUGAGGUAAAGGCUCACCAAGGCGAUGAUACAUAGCCGACCUGAGAGGGUGAUCGGCCACAUUGGGACUGAGACGCGGCCCAAACUCCUACGGGAGGCAGCAGUAGGGAAUCUUCGGCAAUGGACGAAAGUCUGACCGAGCAACGCCGCGUGAGUGAAGAAGGUUUUCGGAUCGUAAAACUCUGUUGGUAGAGAAGAACAUUGGUGAGAGUGGAAAGCUCAUCAAGUGACGGUAACUACCCAGAAAGGGACGGCUAACUACGUG
rnacentral:rRNA from 1 species